UACAGAGGUCCCAAGCGUUGUUCGGAUUCACUGGGCGUAAAGGGUGCGUAGGCGGUUUGAUAAGUCUGAUGUGAAAUCCCGCAGAUUAACUGCGGAACUGCAUUGGAAACUAUUUGACUAGAGGAAUGGAGGGGAGACUGGAAUACUUGGUGUAGCAGUGAAAUGCGUAGAUAUCAAGUGGAACACCAGUGGCGAAGGCGAGUCUCUGGACAUUUCCUGACGCUGAGGCACGAAAGCCAGGGGAGCAAACGGG
rnacentral:rRNA from 1 species